UCGCCUAGGGAUUUCUCGAUGUAGGCUCAGGUUGUUGGGGAGGUAAUAGCUCCCCAAGCCGACGACCCUUCGCCGGUCUUCGCGGACGAUCGGCCACAUGGGGACUGAGACAAGGCCCCAACGUUUCUACGGCAGCAGUGUGGAAUCUUGGGCAAUGGGGGCAACCCUGACCCAGCUAUGUCGCGAGGGCGAGAACGGCUGUAAACGGUAUCAGGUCGUAAAGCUCUGUCGGCAGGGGGGAGAAUGACGUACCCUGCGGAAGCUAGCUCCGGCCAACCUCGUGCCAGCAGCCGCGGUAAUACGAGGGGAGCGAGUGUUCUACGGUCAAACUGGGCGUAAAGGGUUCUCCGGCGGAAAUGGGUGUGUAGGGUGGGAGCAUUCCGCCUGUUAAGCGGGAUCGUCCCCUAAACUCCAUUUCAUGAGUUGGAGCGGCGAGGGCGGAAGUCCAGGACGAGCGUUAGCAUGCUUAGACGCCUGGAGGACGGCCAUGGGCGCAGGCCUCCCUCGAGCUCCGACUGACGCUUCGGAACGAAAGCGUGGGGAGCGAUCGGGAUUAGAGACCCCGGUAGUCCACGCCCUGAUCGAUAGGAAGUGGAGAUGCGCGUAAGCGUGUGUCUCCUUGUUAACGCAAAACUUCCUCGCCUGAGAAGUACGGCCGCAAGGUUGAAACUCAAAAGAAUUGACGGGGGCC
rnacentral:rRNA from 1 species